CUACCGGGGUAUCUAAUCCUGUUUGCUACCCACGCUUUCGAAUCUCAGUGUCAAUAUUAUGCCAGGAAGCUGCCUUCGCCAUCGGUAUUCCUCCAGAUCUCUACGCAUUUCACCGCUACACCUGGAAUUCUACUUCCCUCUCACAUAUUCUAGCACCACCAGUAUCACAUGCAGUUCCCAGGUUAAGCCCGGGGAUUUCACAUGUGACUUAAUGAGCCACCUACACUCGCUUUACGCCCAGUAAUUCCGAUUAACGCUCGCACCCUCUGUAUUACCGCGGCUGCUGGCAC
rnacentral:rRNA from 1 species